rfam:Myotis lucifugus cont2.37507, whole genome shotgun sequence.
GGCCUCCCUCUGUGGGGUGAUCGAUUGUGGGGCUCUGCAAUCAAUCGCCCAGUAGAGGGAGGCC